AACAUUCAACGCUGUCGGUGAGUUUUGUCAGUGCGCUCAAACCAUCGACUGUUGAGUGUACC
rnacentral:pre_miRNA from 1 species